rnacentral:lncRNA from 1 species
CCUCUUGUUUCUGUGUGAUUGUUUCCAUUCAUUGUAUUUUCACAUAGGCAUAUAAUAUGUUAGAAUGCAUUGUCACUAUUAUUAUUUGGAACUAAUUGUUGUCUUUUAGACUAAAUAAAAAUGAGAAAAACAUGUUUUCACCUCUUACUAUUUCUUAACGCUCUCCAGGUCCUUAUGCAGAUCCAAGUUUCUGACCUAUAAUUUCCGUUUGUUGGAAGAAUAUCUUCUGACAUUCCUAGCAAGGCAGGACUCUUGGCAGCAAACUUCAUCAUUCUUUCUCUCUCCCUCUUUCUCAUUUGUUCUCUGGCCAUGUGACAUCUCCACUCACCGGACGUGUUGAGGGCCUCCCCAGUCCUUCAUCUAGUGGUGAGCUACCUGUUUAACAACCCUUCAGAUUUGGGACUGGCCGCUCAGACUUGCUGUUAGGGCUGCGCAUGAGAGUUAUGCAAAUAAGAGCAAAGUCAUCAAGUUGGAGUCUCCUUGGACCAUCUCUUUGUUUAAGUGUUGUAACAUAUAUAUAUAUAUAUAUAUACUAUAUACAGUUCCUCCAUCACUGACCAAUUCAGUUAAUGACCUUGUCGCAGACAUAGGACUCAGCCAUGAAACAGGGAAUGUAUGUUCUCCCCAC